UGGCACUUCUCACCUGCCCUGUCUGGGAGAGAGUGGGGUGCUUGGGCAGCUGAGGAUCAAAGCAGGCUGUGACCUGGAGGGACAAGUGUCAGUCAUCUUGAGCCCUCUCAAAGGAAGGGUUCACAACCCACAUGUGCUUCUUCCUCUGCUGAGAGCAUCCCCUAACACACUGCAGAUGGGACACAUUCCAUGGAUUCAGGAGCUGCCUGCAGCUCCUGCAGAGGAAGAAGGAGCGCUCCCCUUGCUCAGGGCUCAAGGGCAGGGGAAGGUUGGCCAGCCUCACUAGCUUAAAAAUCGUGGUGUGGAGCCAGCCUUGUAGAGGCAGCACUUCUGAAGGAAACCACAACCUGUAGAAUAUAUAUGAGAUGCAAACCAGUUGAUCCAGCAGUGAGGACAGCAGAAACCAGGCAAUGCCCAGAAUAUGUUGAAGAUCUUCCUGAGAAAUUCCUCCCAUACUGAAAUUCUUGACAACAAAGAGAUCAGAA
rnacentral:lncRNA from 12 species